rnacentral:rRNA from 1 species
UACAGAGGUCCCAAGCGUUAGGCGGAAUCACUGGGCUUAAAGCGUGUGUAGGUGGAUUUGUAAGUACCUUGUGAAAUCCCAUGGCUCAACCAUGGAGCUGCUCGGUAUACUGCGAAUCUUGAGCCACUUAGGGGCUACCGGAACAAAUGGUGGAGCGGUGAAAUGCGUAGAUAUCAUUUGGAACGCCAAUGGUGAAAACAGGUAGCUGGGAGUGUGCUGACACUGAGACACGAAAGCCAGGGGAGCGAACGGG